rnacentral:snRNA from 2 species
AGCCGUGUGAUGAGCACAUAGCGAAUUAUUCUUUCGCCUUUUACUAAAGAAUACCGUGGGUUCGUCACUAUAAACGGCAUACGCUACUUUUUGGAAGGGUGUUCUUAUGGCACCCU